GACGAACGCUGGCGGCGUGCUUAACACAUGCAAGUCGAACGGAAAGGCCUGCUUUCCCUUGUGUAUUGCGGGUACUCGAGUGGCGAACGGGUGAGUAACACGUGAGUUAUCUGCCCCCAACUUGGGUAUAAGCCUGGGAAACUGGGUCUAAUUCCCGAUAGGACUGCAGGGUGGUGCCUGUGUUGGCAAACGAUGUUCUAGUGGUUGGGGAUGAGCUCGCGGCCUAUCAGCUGGUUGGUGGGGUAAUGGCCUACGAAGGCGGCGACGGGUAGCCGGCCUGAGAGGGUGGACGGCCACAUUGGGACUGAGAUACGGCCCAGACUCCUACGGGAGGCAGCAGUGGGGAAUAUUGGACAAUGGGCGGAAGCCUGAGGCAGCGACGCCGCGUGGGGGAUGACGGCCUUCGGGUUGUAAACUCCUUUCGACCGCGAGGAAGCCACCUGGUUGGAAGGGUGGUGACGGUAGUGGUAGAAGAAGCACCGGCUAACUACGUG
rnacentral:rRNA from 1 species